AUUGAACGCUGGCGGCAGGCCUAACACAUGCAAGUCGAGCGGAUGAGGGGAGCUUGCUCCUCGAUUCAGCGGCGGACGGGUGAGUAAUGCCUAGGAAUCUGCCUAGGAGUGGGGGACAACGGUUCGAAAGGAACGCUAAUACCGCAUACGUCCUUCGGGAGAAAGUGGGGGAUCUUCGGACCUGACGCUAUUCGAUCCGCCUAGGUCGGAGUAGCUAGUUGGUAGGGUAAAGGCCUCCCAAGGCGACGAUCCGUAACUGGUGUGAGAGGAUGAUCAGUCACACUGGAACUGAGACACGGUCCAGACGCCUACGGGAGGCAGCAGUGGGGAAUAUUGGACAAUGGGCGAAAGCCUGAUCCAGCCAUGCCGCGUGUGUGAAGAAGGCCUUCGGGUCGUAAAGCACUUUAAGUUGGGAGGAAGGGCUCAUAGCGAAUACCUGUGAGUUUUGACGUUACCAACAGAAUAAGCACCGGCUAACUUCGUGCCAGCAGCCGCGGUAACAC
rnacentral:rRNA from 1 species